rnacentral:rRNA from 1 species
GACGAACGCUGGCGGCGUGCCUAAUACAUGCAAGUUGAGCGAUGAAGAUUGGUGCUUGCACCAAUUUGAAGAGCAGCGAACGGGUGAGUAACGCGUGGGGAAUCUGCCUUUGAGCGGGGGACAACAUUUGGAAACGAAUGCUAAUACCGCAUAACAACUUUAAACAUAAGUUUUAAGUUUGAAAGAUGCAAUUGCAUCACUCAAAGAUGAUCCCGCGUUGUAUUAGCUAGUUGGUGAGGUAAAGGCUCACCAAGGCGAUGAUACAUAGCCGACCUGAGAGGGUGAUCGGCCACAUUGGGACUGAGACACGGCCCAAACUCCUACGGGAGGCAGCAGUAGGGAAUCUUCGGCAAUGGACGAAAGUCUGACCGAGCAACGCCACGUGAGUGAAGAAGGUUUUCGGAUCGUAAAACUCUGUUGGUAGAGAAGAACGUUGGUGAGAGUGGAAAGCUCAUCAAGUGACGGUAACUACCCAGAAAGGAACGGCUAACUACGUG